rnacentral:tmRNA from 1 species
CCGCUUGAAAACGCACUCGCCACCAUCUAUAUCAGAAGCGUCCGCUUGCGGACUAUGGUGAUAAACGCGCAUGUAAUAAACGGAUCGGACCCGGGGGCGGUACCCGGCGACUCCACCAAAACCUGCUCAUUUG